rnacentral:lncRNA from 1 species
CUGGGAUCCAUAGAUGGGCAUCAGGAGAGAGAUCUUGGAAGUAAUCCGAAAGAGUAAAACAAAUUUCCUAUGCAUAAGCUUUUGUGUGUGCUUGGGGUGGGGGCCGGGGGAAGUAUUAGAGAGGUGGAGGGGCCAUAGCUUACACGAGAUUUUCAAAAGGUCUGUGACUCAAAAUAACUUAAGUGAGUACAGAAUACCUAUAAUGUCCUUGUGCUAUGCCAGCGAUACACGACAGUGUUUAACACUACGUCAGUUCCCGCCGUUAAAAAGCUGACAGUCACUGUGAAUACAAUCUCCAUCUUCUAAAAAAUGCAGCUGAGGUCAGCUAAAGGACGCGUUCCGCACAAGGUCAGAGAGCCAAUGAGAGGCGCAGAAUGAAAGAGAACUCACGUCUCCCAACUCCCACCUACAGGGCCCGGGAAUCCUAGGGAGCGGGUAAAGGCCUGGGAGAGGUAGCAAGAUGGGCUCCGCCACGAGAUCCGGCUGAAGUCCGGCUCAGCGCCGGCCUCAACUGCAAGAGGAAGGCCACCCCUCUCUCCCCAAGCUGAAACACCAGAAGAGCCACAUUCGGCCGUUCCCAACCGCCACCAGUUACCGGCCGCCAGCGAAGACCCUUUCAGCUCCCGCAAUCCAUUGGCCUCUUGCGGUCAGGUCACGCCGCCGGAAGCCGCCCCCGGAAACGGAAGUUAGGCUACGAGUCACGGUGGCUCCGCGCUGGCGGCGGGUUCCCCCCCAAGGUCUUGGGGAAAGGGGCAUGCGCUGGAAGCUGUGUGCUGUUGGUUUUGAGGAUCUUCAGUAAGCUGAAAGCGGAGAGUCAGGGGCCUUGUGUCCUACCAUGGUAUUUGCUAACGUUUAGAGAGUGCUUCCCCUUGCCGAGCACUGGAUGAUGUCAGAAGUGGGAUCCGAAGUGGAGCUUCUGGUGACCCCCAGGAGUGCUGAGUGAACACGCAAGCUUGGUCCCCAGUGUGAUGGUGCAGCAAGCUGGGUCACUGGGGCCCCUCAGGGAAAGGAAACCCAGCAGCCUGGCAUGCCGGCAAAAGGAACCCAAAGAUUGGAUCUUCUGAGAACAUCGGAGAAAGACUGUCCUUGCCAUCCACACCACAGCAAAACUUUGGAGCCUUGAACCUUGGGUUCGUAAUCUCACAGCUGAGAAAGGUCCCUCCACACUCCUGGAACUGUACACCUAUUGGAACCCUUAAGGUAAAACUAACCAGGAAAGUAUCUCCCCAGAAGGAGAUGGCAUCCUUGUUG